rnacentral:rRNA from 1 species
GAUAAACGCUGGCGGCGCACAUAAGACAUGCAAGUCGAACGGACUUAACCAUUAGUUUACUAUUGGAGCGGUUAGUGGCGGACUGGUGAGUAACACGUAAGCAACCUGCCUAUCAGAGGGGAACAACAGUUAGAAAUGACUGCUAAUACCGCAUAAUGUGUUUUGGGGGCAUCCCUGAAACACCAAAGAUUUAUCGCUGAAAGAUGGGCUCGCGUCUGAUUAGCUAGUUGGUGGGGUAACGGCCCACCAAGGCGACGAUCAGUAGCCGGACUGAGAGGUUGGCCGGCCACAUUGGGACUGAGACACGGCCCAG